rnacentral:rRNA from 1 species
AGUGAACGCUGGCGGUAGGCCUAACACAUGCAAGUCGAACGGCCGCACAGUAAGAGCUUGCUCUUACGGGUGGCGAGUGGCGGACGGGUGAGGAAUACAUCGGAAUCUACUUUUUCGUGGGGGAUAACGUAGGGAAACUUACGCUAAUACCGCAUACGACCUACGGGUGAAAGCAGUGGAUCUUCGGACCUUUCGCGAUUGAAUGAGCCGAUGUCGGAUUAGCUAGUUGGCGGGGUAAAGGCCCACCAAGGCGACGAUCCGUAGCUGGUCUGAGAGGAUGAUCAGCCACACUGGAACUGAGACACGGUCCAGACUCCUACGGGAGGCAGCAGUGGGGAAUAUUGGACAAUGGGCGCAAGCCUGAUGCAGCCAUACCGCGUGGGUGAAGAAGGCCUUCGGGUUGUAAAGCCCUGUUGUUGGGAAAGAAAAGCAGCAGGUUAAUACCCCGCUGUCCUGACGGUACCCAAAGAAUAAGCACCGGCUAACUUCGUG